rnacentral:lncRNA from 10 species
GGGGAAUUGAUCUAAUUUAGUCUUUACUCUUGAACUAAUGUAGCCACACUCCUAAAGUGUGGGCUUUGAGGUUUCGACUGAAUUCAAAGAUUUUCUGCAAAAUCUCUCCACUCUAAUUGGUCAAAAUAUUAACAUCUCCCAGCACAGUGUGACCAUUUAUUCAUUUCACAGGUCCACAGAAGUGGUUUCUGCCAAUCUUUGAAGAGUCCUGAUCUUAUAUAAUCAAAGAAGCUUCAAGUCUGGAAGAGAGAGGCAAAAGGUGAGAGUCAGGAGAAUCUGAAGAUGCUACACUGCUGGCUUUGAAGAUGAGGAUGGGUCAUGAGCCUAAUAAAAAAGGCAGGUCCAUCAAGAGGUUUCCAGAAGAAGGCAUCGCUAUCACAGGAGAUGGCAGCUCCAUGCCUGUUACUGCCCCUGAAGAUGUUCCAGUGGGACAGGGUGUGGAGGUGGAAGACAGCAACAGUGACGAUCCUGACCCUAAAUUGACCAGAUUGCUUUGAGGAACUAAGAAGCUGUUAAACCUUUGGAAGAACUGGCCUGAUACGUUGUCUACAUGGUUCUCCUACAAGGUGUAUGAGUCCAUUUUUAUGCUGCUGAUAAAGACAUACCUGCAACUAAGAGGAAAAAGUUGUUUAACUGGACUUACAGUUCCACAUGGCUGGGAAGGCCUCAGAAUCAUGGCAGGAGGCGAAAGGCACUUCUUACAUGGUGGCACCAAGGGAAAAUGAGGAUGAUGAAAAAGUGAAAACCCCUGAAAAAAUCAGAUUUUGUGAGACUUAUUCACUACCACGAGAACAGUCUGGGGGAAACCGCUCCCAUGAUUCAAAUUAUCUCCCACCCGGUCCCUGCCCCCGCAACCCCCCCACAACAUAUGAGAAUUACGGGAGUACAAUUCAAGAAGAUUUAGGUGGGGACACAAAGCCAAACCAUAUUACAAGGUUUAUAGCCUUGCAGUAAGUAAAGAAUACCAUUUUCUGACAAGCCCAGGAACUUCAGGAUAUUUUGGGGACCUCAAAAAAGAGGGAUUUACCCAAUUCAUACAAGUAUUACAGGCAAAAUCUGAUGGUGAAUUGCUGGCCUGGCUUCCAAUCUUAAGAGGCUUUUAAAGAUUGAACCUGAAAUUCCUUAUAAAAAAAGUUUCAGUCAAGUCAAUUUAAAAAGUGCUCAGAUGGCCAAGUACAAUUCUGGCUGUACUUUAGUCAAAUACUCAGGCCAAGUAUAACAAGUCUAAGACUUUAUUUUGCAAAUAAAUUGGUCCUACUGUAAACCAAAAAGUGUCUGAGACAAGUUUCAGUCCAUUUAGAAAGUUUAUUUUGCCAAGGUUAAGGACAUACCAGUGACACAGCCUCGGGAGAUCUUGACAACAUGUGCCUAAGGUGGUUGGGGCACAGCUUGGUUUUCUACAUUUUAGGGAGACAUGAGACUCAAUCAUUAUAUGCACGAUGUACAUUGGUUUGGUCCAGAAAAGAGGGACAACUUAAAACCAAAAGAGGGCUUCCAGGUCAGAGGUAGAUAAGAGACAAAUGGUUGCAUUCUUUUGAGUUUCUGAUUAGGCUUUCACUGAAUACACAAUUUACAGAAAUAGUCGCUUAUGCCUUAGUCUGGCUUAGUAAAGCAACAGAACAAAGGAAGCACUCAGAUGCGCGUGUCCCAUGUGAGCAGAGGGAUAACUUUGACAUCUGUUUGUGCUUUGUCUAAAGGAAUUUUUCUUCGUGGGAAAAUUGUAAGGGAGGCUUUCAGACAAAUUUUUCUCCUAUUUUUUAAGCUCACUGAAAUUGAUAAUACCUUUUUACCGAGGCCUUGCAAGCUGAAGUUUAUGCAUAAAUAACCUUGUGACAUACAAAUUACAGAUCACAAAAUCUGUCAGAUCGCCAAUGCCUCCUUCCACAGUAACUAAAGAUGCCUCUAGUUGAACAGCUGGAUACCUCAACUGACUGCUCUCCAGACUCUAAAGAAAUCCGUUUAUAGACUGCUCCAAAUAUUAACCUUUGUUUUUCUGCUGUUUGGGAGCCCAUCUGCAACGCCAUUUCCUGAAAUGAGACACAGCUGUUUAAUUGGACUGGUCUACUCGUAGAAAUAGAACACCAGUUUAAUGAUAAUUUUUGCUACUCAGCUAUUAACUCAAAUAUUAUCUUCACACCCAACAACUUAGAUUUUAGUGUGUGAAACUUUGAGGGACAUUUUAGACAGAGGACUUUUGGGGUGCAGAAGUGGUUCCCUGAUAUAUGACACCUGGGCAUGGUGAGUGCUUUUAAACAUUAAAAGACCUCAUAAAUAAGCCUCAGAAUCAUGGUCCCCCUAAAACUGUCUUGGGGCAGGAAGGGACUCUCUCUCUGUAAUUUCCUUAUCUGACUAAGAAAUCUUCUUCCCAAAAAACCACAAUUGCCAUCUAGCCCAUUCCUGAAAUCUCAUUUCAGACAGAAAUGUUACCAUAUCUGGAUGGUCUCUUUCACAAGAUAAUGCCUGCCUCUUGGGGUCAUUCAAAUUCCAAAAAGUAUUAUUUACAAGUUAAUUUCUGUCUCUAAAUUCCACACCUUUUCUUCCUAAUAAUCAUUUACUGCUCCUGAAUAGCAUUGUCUGCAUUCCUCAUCUCCUCCCUCCUUUGUGAAAAAGGGUUUAUAAGCCUCUGUCCCCACUGGGGGUUAGGGUAAUCACUCUGUGAUUCUCUCCAGUGCAUGUUAAAAAUGUGUAUACCUCUUCUCCAAUUAAUCUGUCUUCUGCCAGUCAAUUUUCAGCAAACCUUCAGAGGGCAAAGUAGAUGUUUCCCUUGGCCCCUGUACCCCUUAGGAGCCCUGAAACACUUAUUUUUCCAUAUUAUGCUCUUUAUAUUAAUUUGCUAAUUUACUGAACACAUAUUUUUCAAGCAACUCCUCAUUUGCUGGGCACCUUUCUGGGUGCUGGGACAUAAAGAGACGUGGAGAGAGUUGCCUUGUGAUACAGGAGGUAGAAAGAAAUUAUUUAGGCAGAUAGUGAGGGUAAAAGAGUCUUUGACAGAGCUUCCCUUUUAACAAAAAGCAGCCCAAGAAAUUAUUUUUUUUUCUAACAAAGGGCAGCCUGAAAAGUUGAGCUGCAAACAUAGACAAGCAAGCUGGAAGCUUGCAUGGGAAAUGCCAGCAGCUGUGCCAAUAGAAAAUGGCUACCUGGGGGUCAGGCACGUCCAACGUUGAGGCUCCAUCUUCCCUUUUUUUGUCACUGUGUGUACAGUAAAGGAAUGGGCAACAUGGUGCUGCCACAGCAGAGGACCUGCCUGCUUAAUGAGUGAUUAGGAUGGGGGUGGCCAAAAAUUCGCACCCUAUGCAAAUGGCACACCUAGUCCUAACCAGUUUUUCACACCCCAUGCAAAUGGCACACCUGGUCCAGCCAAUCUUUUGUGCUCUAUGUAAGUCAAAUACCACCCCCUCACCAGACAUCUAUAAAACCUCCUACAUUUCACCACGGCUCCAGCAGCUCAUUUCUUCGGGACCCUUCUCUGCUGCAGGGAGCCGUCCUCCUCCUUUCACCUGUUAAACAUCCACUCUCAACCUCACUCUUCGUGUGUCUGUACCCUUUAGUUUCUCAGCCAUGAGACAGUGAUUUCCAGGGUAUCGCCCCAGACAAUGAGGCCGUUUCACUUGCACACUCACUUGCACACUCGAUUUGUCCCACUCUAGGCCCCCUACUAGGUACCUUGGGUAAGUAAUACAGCAUAUUUUUAUCCUAUGUUUUCUUAAAAUAAGUAAUGGGGAUACUAGAAGCUACAAUCUCAGUCAUGCCAACAAUUAUGGAAUCCAUGGGAAGCACUUGUUACGGACUUAGACCUGGUGAGCGUCUGUAUUUUUUCUGUGGCUGUUGUAACAAAUUACUACCAACGUGGUGGUUUAAAACAAUUCCCACAGUAGAGCUGGCCUGAGUUCCAAGCACCUUCACGGGGCUAAAAUUGAGGUAUUUGGGGAGAGCUGCACUCCUUCUGGAGGCUUUGGGGAGCACCGGCCCUUGGCUCUCCUGACUUCAGGUGGCUGCCAGCACUCGGCUGCAGCUGCCUCACUGCAAUCUGUGCCUCUGUAGUCGUGCCGGGGCCAAGGCAACACGUCCCCUUCACCCUCUGAAGGCUUGCUGGUAAAUAAACUGACAAAAGGCAGAUUAAUUGGAGGAAAGGCAUGAACAUUUAUUAAUAGGUGCUUGGGGGAGAGCCACAGAGUGAUUGUCCCAUAUUCAAUGGGGCCCAGAUACUUGUAUAGCCCUAUUUCAGAGGGGAAGAGGAGAUGGGAAUGUAGGUAAUUACAGGGUGAUACAUGAUUAAAGAAGAGAAUAAAUAGAUCAGGGAACAGGGAUUCACUUGUAAAUGAUGCUCUUUGAAAAUUGACUGAGACUGAGAGACAGACAUUAUCUUGUGAAAGUCUGUCCUGGAGUGGUUACACUCUUGGUCCUGUUUUCUGUAAUAGAUAAUGAGCUAACAGAGAGAGGAAGGAAAGACAGUUGUUCUCCUUGGAUACUCCCUCUGGUCUCUAUGUAGACAGAGAAAAUUCUCCUCCAGCCUCUGUUGAUCUCUGAAGGUCUUUAAUUAAAAAUGCACAUUACAUCAGGGACCACUAUUUUGGGGUGAAGUUCUCUGCACUCCUUCAGUUUCACAUCUUCUGCCAGUUAAGCCACCCUCUGUCUCUCUCUUACAGUAGCACUUGUGAUUCCAUUUAAGGUACACCUCGAUAAUCAGAGCUAUUGCUCCACCACAGAAUCCUUAAACACAUUCCCAAAGACCCUUUCUCUACAUCGGGGAACAACUACACAUUCCAGAGAUUAGGACCUGAUACCUGUGUAAGCUAUUAUUUAGCUCACCACUACAUUUGAUAUAUACCUGUCCCUGGCCCCCAAUCAUUAGAUUAUAAAGAAGGGCUGUCCAAUUGUCAUCUGUCUUCACUGUGGUGCCAACCCUGGAGCUCCCUUGUUAAUACCUAUAUAAUCCUGAGCCCCAACAUGGUUUCAUCUACGCAGAGUAGGGCAGACCUCACCACGUGGGCCAUGGGGCAUUGACCUACUCUGUUUAUCGGUGAUCAGUUCUCUUCCCAUGAUCUGGCCUAAAGUUUCUGGAAAACAGUUUCUAUGCAUAAUUAUCCCAGGUGGAUAUUCCAGAGCUAUAAAAUGCAGAGAUCCUGUCCUGGCCCUGUGUCUAAGCUAGAGAAACAUUUAUUUCAGGUUAUUCUGAGGCUUGAUGGGAAUGACCCUGGUUCCUGGUCUAACCUAAUAGUAAACAUGUUCCCACAGCCAGGUUCUGAGUACUCCAUGGGGCCUGAGCUAACCUCAGUUUUGGGGGACUGUUCUACUUUGUGAAUCACUUUACCAGGCACACAGGCUCUGAAGUUCUUUUCUUCCCUCUUCUUUCCCUCUCUUCCUCAUUCUCCCUCUCCUCUCUCACUCCAUUGAUCUUUUUCUAUUCCUCAACUCCCCAUUUGCUGUCAUCUACUUUGAUUUCCUCAUUCUCCCUCAUGUCUAUAUAUCCAUAUACAGCUUAACUCCCCCCCUCCAUCUCAUCUGAUUCCUCUGUUGAUGAAAAAGCCAAACUCUGAAAAAUAUUUAGAGAUUUAUUCUUAACCAAUAUGAGUGACCAUGGUCAAGGGAACAGUCUUAGAAGGUCUGGAGAAAGUGAGGUGGUUGGAUUACAGCUUGGUUUAUACUUUUUGUGGAGACAAAAGUUACAGACAAAGACAUAAAUCAAUACAUGUGUCAGAGGUGUUUGAACCAGAGAGACUCCAUCUGAAUAGGGGCAUGGUAAAAUAAGAGUGAGACCUACUGGGCUGCAUUCCCAGGAGGUUAGGUAUUCUUAACUUCACAAGAUGAGAUAGGAGGUUGGCCGGAGAUGCAGGUCAUACAGACCUUGCUGAUAACACAGGUUGCAGUAAAGAAGCUGGUGAAAACCCCCGAAAACCAAGAUGGCAACGAGAGUGAUCUCUGGUCUUCACUGCUACACUCCCACUAGCACCAGGACAGUUUACAAAUGCCAUGGCAAUAUCAGGAAGUUACCCUAUAUGGCCUAAAAUGGGAGUCACGAAUAAUCCACCCCUUGUUUAAUAUAUCAUCAAGAAAUAACCAUAAAAAUGGGCAACCAGCAGCCCUCGAAGCUGCUCUGCCUAUGAUGUAGCUAUUCUUUAUUCCUUUGCUUUCACUUUACUGUAUGGACGCACCCCGAAUUCUUUCUUGCACAACAUCCAAGAACCCUCCCUUGGAGUCUGGACCCUGACCUCUUUCCAGUAACACAUGUAAGGUAUACAUUGGUAGGCCCAAAGAUGUGAAAUAUUUCAAAGUGGGGACUUACAGGUAAUAGGUGAAUUCAAGGAUUUUCUGAUCAGCAUUUGGUUGAAAGAAUUUAGCUUUGUCUAAAGACAGUAGAAAGACAUGCUUGAGUUAAGAAAAGGAAGGUUGUGGAAGCCAAGGUUCUUGUUAUGUAGAUGAAGCCUCUAGGUAGUAUUCUUCUGAGAGAAUAGAUGGUCAAUGUCUCUUUUCAGAUUUUAAAUACAGUCCAACUCAAUUAAAUCUCCUCUAGACGUGGCAAAGACCUAGAAAGGGAAAGAGAUUCUAAAGAUGCAAAACUUUACCCCACAAAAGGCUUUGCAGGGCCAUUUCAAAAUAUAUCAGAUAAAUAUAUUUUGAAGUAAAGUGUGUCAGUUUCUUUCAGGGUCUGCUGUCGUGUGAUGCUAUACCAGAGUCAAGUUGGAAUUUGGCAUCUUACUGCCAAAGGGUCUGUUUCAUCCAUAUAAGGAUGUCUAUUUUAAUGUUAAUGCUGGUAAGUUUUGCCUAAACUCCAAAAAAAGAGGGGGUAUAAUGAGGCAUGUCUGACCUGUCUUCCUUCAUGGCCUGGAAUUCAGUUUUUUCGGUUUCUUUGUAAUUCCCUUGGCCCAGAGGGUGGACCCAUUCAUUCGGUCUGAUGGAGGGCUUAGAGAUUUUAUUUUUGGUUUACACCUCAGACUCGAUUCAAGUCAGCAAAUACUUUUAGCACAAAGUAUAUGCCAGAUAUUGUUUAAAGUGGGAUAAAGAACAGAUGGUAUGCCUGGCAUGGUCCUGAUCUGGAAGGACCUAACCUCUUCCUGCCUCUUCCUGGAACCUGUCUUUGCUUUUCAAAUGCCUGCCAGUCUCUGCCUAUCCUUUCCACUCUGUGUCCUGAUUUCUUGUGUUCUCCUCUCACUUUCUCUUGUGUUCUCUGUCCUCUCUCUUCCUUUUGUUCUAAAAUGGCAUCAAAAUCUUAUAAUAAAAAUCUAUCUCCCAUGUUACUUGAAUGACUCUCUACCAAUCUCAUUAUGUUUGUUAUAGAUGAAUAUAAUAUGAGUGAUUUUAAAAAUAUUAUUUUAUUAAAUAAAUUAUGAAAAAUACACAGCAAGGCCUGGGAUUGACAUGCUCAUUUUCAGCCUCAAUAUUAAAUCUCUAGACUGCACAAAUGAUUACACAUUGAACUAAAUGUAUGGUUUUAUCUUUUGUGCCUAUAAAGAAAAGUCUUUCAUAUUAUACAAUUUGUACCACUUUCUCUUUUUUUUGCACAUACACUUCUCCAGCUCCAUUGCCAAACCUCAGCUGUCAAUUCUGUUUAGUCCCGUUGAUGAAAAGAACCAAAUUCUAAAAUAUUUGAAGAGAUUCUUUCUGAACCAUAUAGGAGUGACCAUGGCCCAUGACACAGCCCUCAGGAGAUCUUGAGAACAUGUGCUCAAGGUGGUAGGGGUGUGGCUUGGUUUUAUGCAUUUUAGGGAGACAUGAGACUUCAAUCACAC